rnacentral:snoRNA from 1 species
GUGGCUGUCUUCACUGCUGGCUGCAUUUGCUAGAAAUGGAAUGCAGCCAUAAGCAGCCACAAACAGUAAAGCAAAUGGUUCCUGCCGACAGUGUCUGUAGAGUUAUCAGAUUUUUCUGUGCGAUGGUUCCAUACAUU